rnacentral:rRNA from 1 species
GAGUUUGAUCCUGGCUCAGGACGAACGCUGGCGGCGUGCUUAACACAUGCAAGUCGAACGGAAAGGCCCUUCGGGGUACUCGAGUGGCGAACGGGUGAGUAACACGUGGGUGAUCUGCCCUGCACUUUGGGAUAAGCCUGGGAAACUGGGUCUAAUACCGAAUAUGACCACGCUCUUCAUGGGGUGUGGUGGAAAGCUUUUGCGGUGUGGGAUGGGCCCGCGGCCUAUCAGCUUGUUGGUGGGGUAAUGGCCUACCAAGGCGACGACGGGUAGCCGGCCUGAGAGGGUGACCGGCCACACUGGGACUGAGAUACGGCCCAGACUCCUACGGGAGGCAGCAGUGGGGAAUAUUGCACAAUGGGCGCAAGCCUGAUGCAGCGACGCCGCGUGAGGGAUGACGGCCUUCGGGUUGUAAACCUCUUUCACCAGGGACGAAGCGCAAGUGACGGUACCUGGAGAAGAAGCACCGGCCAACUACGUGCCAGCAGCCGCGGUAAUACGUAGGGUGCGAGCGUUGUCCGGAAUUACUGGGCGUAAAGAGCUCGUAGGUGGUUUGUCGCGUUGUUCGUGAAAACUCACAGCUUAACUGUGGGCGUGCGGGCGAUACGGGCAGACUAGAGUACUGCAGGGGAGACUGGAAUUCCUGGUGUAGCGGUGGAAUGCGCAGAUAUCAGGAGGAACACCGGUGGCGAAGGCGGGUCUCUGGGCAGUAACUGACGCUGAGGAGCGAAAGCGUGGGGAGCGAACAGGAUUAGAUACCCUGGUAGUC